rnacentral:rRNA from 1 species
UGCGUAGGCGGAAUGAUAAGUUAGUGGUGAAAGCCCCCGGCUCAACCGGGGAACUGCCGUUAAUACUGUCAUUCUUGAGUAUAGUUGAAGUGGGCGGAAUGUAUCAUGUAGCGGUGAAAUGCUUAGAUAUGAUACAGAACACCGAUAGCGUAGGCAGCUUGCUAAACUAUAACUGACGCUCAGGCACGAAAGCGUGGGGAGCAAACAGGAUUAGAUACCCUGGUAGUCC